rnacentral:rRNA from 1 species
UACGGGGGGGGCAAGCGUUGUCCGGAAUUAUUGGGCGUAAAGGGCUCGUAGGCGGUCCGUCACGUCGGGAGUGAAAACUCGGAGCUCAACUCCGAGCCUGCUUCCGAUACGGGCAGACUAGAGGUAGGCAGGGGAGACUGGAAUUCCUGGUGUAGCGGUGAAAUGCGCAGAUAUCAGGAGGAACACCGGUGGCGAAGGCGGGUCUCUGGGCCGAUACUGACGCUGAGGAGCGAAAGCGUGGGGAGCGAACAGG